rnacentral:sRNA from 1 species
UAUUCACUGAUUGCUUCAGAUGUGAAGGGGCAGCCAGGCUGGGACAAAAGGGAUUCCCACCCAGAGUGCGCGAAGCUUCUGUGACCGAGGUGGCUGCUGCUUAUGGCCCACCUUCCCUUCACCACAGGCCUCUCUCCCUCCCUCCUUCCCUCCCUCCCUCUUGCAUUUUUCUUUAAAAUGUAGUUGAUUAGAAGCGCACUCUGUUUGAAUUUGGCAAUGUGGAGUUGUGUAUAGCAUGGAACCUUUUCUUUAUGCAUCGAUGGUCAUGUGUUGUGAAAUGUUUUCUUGGGAUGAGUCAUCAAGACAAUACAAUGACAAUGAAAGUCUAAUAUCACGUUAUUGGCAGACUGCCAGUCUUCCGAAGAGUCCAUGGGGUCUAAUUCCAUGCGUUCUAUCCUGGAGGAAGACGAGGUAGAUGAGGAGCCACCAAGAGUCCUUUUAUACCAUGAACCACGUUCGUUUGAAGUAGGAAUGCUAGUCUGGCUUAAAUAUAAAAAAUACCCCUUCUGGCCAGCAGUGGUCAAAAGCAUCAGGCAGAGAGAUAAGAAAGCAAGUGUGCUGUACAU